rnacentral:lncRNA from 1 species
AUACAUCUCAAAUCAACAACCCACCACCUAAAUGAAUUAGAAAAAGACCAAACAAAACCUAAAGUCAUCAGAAGGAAGGAAAUCAUAAAGAUCCGAGGAGAAAUCAAUAAAAUAGAGAUUCAAAAAAAUGAUAUUGCAUUUGUUAACCUCUGAGCCACGACGGGAAAUCCUCAAGAACAUUUUAGCUGGUGAACUUUGAAUUGGAGGCAAGUGCUUAUCUACCUCAGAAGAUAGAGCCUUUCUAGUUCUGUUCAACUCAGCUCAAGGGCCUUUAUAGUUCUGAAAUUUAUGAUUCUAUUAGUCUCCUUCUUGUCUGACUUCUCACACUAGGUCUCAUGUUUCUGACCACUUUUGGGAUAUUUUGCUACUUCAACGUUUCUUUUCUUAACCAGUUUAGAGCUAGCAUGUCUUAAAGUGAAUUCCAGUUUUCUUCUCAAUGUAGUUCCUUUCUCAGUUUCUGUUGUUAUUCAUCUUCCCGGUAAUUUAGACUUGUGAAAAGUUACCCACUCAUGUCCAUCCAUACUCCUGGCCCAUGACUUCUUGAGGCCUAGCAGCCAAAAUUUGCUCUGUAGCCCAUCCCCACGUUUCCAGAACUGUUUGUCUGCAGUGUCCCUCCCAGCCAUCUCCUGUGAACAAAAUUUUUGCCGUCCCACUUCUCUUUUCAGAAAGCCAGUGGUUCUGGUUAGGUAGGGACCUACUAAAUGUGUUUCUCCUUGUAUUUUCAGAGGCCAUAUAAUCUUGUCCUUACCCUAUCCAACUGUGGUUCACACCAUUAAAUAAUUAUUACUCCACUCAGGGAAGACGCUUUAUUAACAGUUGUGUAUCCUGUCUUACGUCAGUUUCUUUUACUUUUCUAACAAAGCCCCCCCCCACAUUUUUCAUAGCCCAGUUUCAUGCUUUCCAGGAAUCUUCUCUGAUGACUCUAGCUCAUAGUGGCUUCUUUCUUUGAAUUCCCAAUGAGUGACACAUGGCUUAUCACUUAAAAUCUUAUAUACUUUUAGAGCUGGAAGUUAUCUUAAGGAUCAGCUCAUCUGUAAAUUUUAUAAAUGACAGAAAAUUUGUAACCUGCCCUCAAUCGUAUUAGUUAAUAGCAAAGCCCAAACGAGACCUCUCACCUAACUUCAUGCAAGGUAGUAUGGAAACAACCAUGGACAGUACUUAAAACUAAUAAAUGUGGUUUUAUCCUAAUAAAACUUUACCAAAAAUUUUGCCAAAAUUGGGGCUUGUGGGCCAUAGUUUGCCAACCUGUUCUAGAGUAUUACUGAUAACCAUCCUAGUAAAUUUUCCUUUUAUAUUGAUAAUAAAUAAACUGUUCUUUUAUAUAAAUAAAAAUGUUCUUGUAUAUUGAUUUUAGAACCAGUACAUUAGACACAUUUUUUAAAACUCUAACUUUUAUUUAGAAUUGCCAUCAGAUAAAUAAGGACAUACAAUUUAUUUUUUACUAUCAGGUAUGAGUUUUCAUGUUUAGUUCAACUUGAGAAGUCAUACAAUAUUUUUUUUCGUUUGAGAAACAUUGCCUGUAGAUGAUAAGGAAGUCUUUAAGUAUAAUUUAUAUAGUAGAUCCAAGAUCUGCAUAAAUGUCAGGUGAUGCCUUUCCAGUGAAAGAAUAGAAUAGUGUUUUUCAUCAUACUCCAGAUACUUGGAAUAAAACAAAAAGUAAAGUUACUGAACCAGGGUCAUAGCAACUUACUAUAAGAGCUAGAAGCAGAACUAAAUAACUUAGUCGACUCAAGUCUGUUGAACAACAGAUUCAGACUACUUUUGGCUGUUAAAAUUCCCAUGGCUCUCCUCAUAGGAAAUAACACCAUUCAUGCUGUUAUCCUUGCUGCAUUCUGACCAGUAUAGCAGUUACGCUUUUAGUCUUACUUGAACUCCCUCGUUGAAUGUAAUUUCUGAGCUGAGCUCUAGCCAGCUCACUGGGUGUAUUAACACCCCUGCUCUGAAGGGGUCUCCUCUGCUUUGUUUCUUCACUAUUGAGCAAUUUCAUUUCUACUGUUCAGCAGUUAGCUACUAUCCUGUAUGGGAAAAUUGGCAUUUUAUGAUCAGUGUAAUGUAUAUUUGAUGGACUGUUUACUUUAUAUAAGAACAAAACUGAACUUGAGCAUGUCUGAGAUGUAAACAUGAUGACAUUGUGGCAAGAGGGAUAAAUGUUUUCAAAUAAAGAUAUUAGAAUCAACCUUUGAAAUAUAGAGACCUUUUAAUUUUGACAGUCAAAACCCACUACUCUGUGCCACAUUAUUAAACUAGCAGUUCUCAAGAUUUUUCUCCUCAGGACUUUAAAAAUUAUUGGAUUAUGUCUAUCAGUAUUUGCUAGAAUUAGAGCACAUUUAAAAUACAUUUAUUAAUUUUUUAAAAAUAGCAUCAGUAAACCCAUUCCAUGUUAACAUAGAUUUUAUGAAAAAUAUACGUUGGUUUAAAUAUAUGAUGAAAAAUAUUUGAAGAGGGCAUUGUUUUACAUCUUUGCAAAUCUCUUUAUUGUCUGAUUUAGUAGACCACAGCUGAAUUCUGCUUUUGUAGUCUCUUGUGAGAGGUUGUUUUACUUGAACUGUGAAGGAAACACACAUGCACACACAUGCAGUUGGAAAAAGGAAGACUAUUUUAACAGCCUUUUCUGAUAAUUGUGGAUAUUUUUCUUAGAUAAUACAAACAGUAAUUUUUAUUCGUUAAUAGCAGUGUGGAAUCUAAAACCAUAUCUGUAAACUUACUGUACUAUGUUACAUUAAAAUCCACUGGUUUGUCUUACAUCUUGCCUACAUACAUUCAUUCACCUAUUUGUUGGGCGUAUGUGUGUGUGUGUGUGUGUGCACAUGCACACGCAUGUUUAAUUCCUGUUUUAUCUUUUUUCUUGUUCUUUUUUUUUUUUUUUUUUUUUUUUUUUUUUUUUGCUUUUUAGGGCGGUACCCAUGACAUACAGA